rnacentral:rRNA from 1 species
GAGACAGUCCUCUAUGAGGGCUGUCAUCGGAAUGGGUACAAUUUAAACCCUUUAACGAGGAUCUAUUGGAGGGCAAGUCUGGUGCCAGCAGCCGCGGUAAUUCCAGCUCCAAUAGCGUAUACAAAUACUGUUGCGGUUAAAAAGCUCGUAGUUGGAUCUGCGUUCGCAGUGUCUGGUUCCCUACUCGGGAUACUAGUUCACUCGAACUACCUUGUUAGACGUCUCUUGGUGCUCUUCACUGAGUGCCUUGAGUGUCUAGCUCGUUUACUUUGAAAAAAAUUAGAAGUGCUUAAAGCCAUGCUUUUUGCCUGAAUAGUUGCGCAUGGAAUAAAUGGAAUAAGGACCUCGGUUCUAAUUUGGUUGGUUUUCCGGAGCAUGAAGGGAAUGAUUAAAGAGGGACUGGACGGGGGCAUUCGGUACUGCUACGUUUAGAGGUUAAAAUUCUUGGGAUCGUUAGCAUGGACGAAACAAC